AUACGGAGGGUGCGAGCGUUGUUCGGAAUCACUGGGCGUAAAGGGCGCGCAGGCGGUCUGUCAAGUCAGAUGUGAAAGCCCACGGCUCAACCGUGGACGUGCAUCUGAAACUGGCAGACUCGAGUACCGGAGGGGAAAGUGGAAUUCCCGGUGUAGAGGUGAAAUUCGUAGAUAUAGGGAGGAAUACCGGAGGCGAAGGCGACUUUCUGGACGGAUACUGACGCUGAGGCGCGAAAGCGUGGGGAGCGAACAGGAUUAGAAACCCUAGUAGUCC
rnacentral:rRNA from 1 species